rnacentral:rRNA from 1 species
UACAGAGGGUGCGAGCGUUAAUCGGAAUUACUGGGCGUAAAGCGUGCGUAGACGGUAAUGUAAGUCAGAUGUGAAAGCCCCGGGCUCAACCUGGGAAUUGCAUUUGAGACUGCAUUGCUUGGGUGCGGAAGAGGGAAGCGGAAUUUCCGGUGUAGCGGUGAAAUGCGUAGAUAUCGGGAAGAACACCCGUGGCGAAGGCGGCUCUCUGGGACGGUACUGACGCUGAGACGCGAAAGCGUGGGGAGCGAACAGG